ACGGAAGGCAGCAGUGGGGAAUAUUGCACAAUGGGCGAAAGCCUGAUGCAGCGACGCCGCGUGAGUGAAGAAGUAUCUCGGUAUGUAAAGCUCUAUCAGCAGGGAAGAAAAUGACGGUACCUGACUAAGAAGCCCCGGCUAACUACGUGCCAGCAGCCGCGGUAAUACGUAGGGGGCAAGCGUUAUCCGGAUUUACUGGGUGUAAAGGGAGCGUAGACGGUUUGGCAAGUCUGAAGUGAAAUGCGGGGGCUCAACUCCUGAACUGCUUUGGAAACUGUCGAACUAGAGUGCAGGAGAGGUAAGUGGAAUUCCUAGUGUAGCGGUGAAAUGCGUAGAUACUAGGAGGAACACCAGUGGCGAAGGCGGCUUACUGGACUGUAACUGACGUUGAGGCUCGAAAGCGUGGGGAGCAAACAGGAUUAGAUACCCUGGUA
rnacentral:rRNA from 1 species